rnacentral:lncRNA from 1 species
UAAAUCUCCAUAUAGCAUAAUCUAUAACAUAUGUCUUAACUAUAGCAAAAGCCCUUGCUAAAUAAUGAGGAGUAAAGUGGUUGAAAAAAAUGCAAUAAAAGCAACUCUGGCAGGAUGACAGGAGGUCAGCUUGUUUUCCUGCGAAAUAUUCUCAGAAGAUUUGUGCUCUUGGCAAAUUCAUGGACUACCUGGCAUAGCUAAAAGGGCGCAGACUGGCAUGUUGUGCCUUUCAAUAGCAACAAAAGCAGAGAAUUAGCUCGGCUGUUAUCUAAAACGGAAAUGCUCGACUUCAAACUUACCAGACUACAGUAACAGACCGGCCUUUCUGCCUUCUUCAAUAGGCUAGUGUCUUUGUUUCGCAGCUGUAAGCGCUAUCGUUGCCUAGCGAGUGGAAGCUAACGUUGCCUAGCAACAGGCGCCAUGGGUAAGUAGUUGGCCGCUCGCAGCCGAACUCCGAGGACAACAUGCACCAGGCCGCUGAAAUGAAUUUACCGCGGAGGAAAAAAGUCCACGAGGCCUUCUUUUCGAACACCUACAGGAUAUUUAACGAGAACCUCCCAGAAAGAAUGGACGCGGAAAAGUACUACAAGGACCACAGGUAUCCAUCGAGAGACGCAGCAGAGUGCGAGAGGCUCAAGACGCACAACCACCCUCAGCCGCACAAUGUCAGGUUCAUUCGGACCAACGCCAGGUUCUUAAACGAGCCCAUCUCUCACAUAGAACCCAAAGCCACGAAGGACGAGCAGGUUAACUGGCGGGUCAGCGCCCCGGACAGACGUGUAGCCACCACUGUCACCCCGGGCCAUCAGGCCGAAGGACGGGGGGAACAGAAAAACCAGCAUCAGGAAUAG